rnacentral:rRNA from 1 species
GGGAAUCUUCCGCAAUGGGCGAAAGCCUGACGGAGCAAUACCGCGUGAGGGAGGAAGGCUCUUGGGUUGUAAACCUCUUUUCUCAGGGAAGAACAGAAUGACGGUACCUGAGGAAUAAGCAUCGGCUAACUCCGUGCCAGCAGCCGCGGUAAUACGGAGGAUGCAAGCGUUAUCCGGAAUGAUUGGGCGUAAAGAGUCCGUAGGUGGCAUUGAAAGUCUGCUGUUAAAGAGUCUAGCUCAACUAGAUAAGAGCAGUGGAAACUACAAAGCUAGAGUUUGGUCGGGGCAGAAGGAAUUCCUGGUGUAGCGGUGAAAUGCGUAGAUAUCAGGAAGAACACCGGUGGCGAAGGCGUUCUGCUAGGCCGAGACUGACACUGAGGGACGAAAGCUAGGGGAGCGAAUGGGAUUAGAUACCCCAGUAGUCAAUCGAA